CCUGCUAUUUAAUCAAGUUCUGUCCACUUAAGCCAUAUAUAUGAUGCAGCUUCAGCGUGUCUCUCAUUUCAUCAUUUCAAGUUUUCAACUAUAUGACUAAUCAUCUUCCCUGCUUUUUAAUUUCGCAGAUACUUAAAGGUUGUGAAACUUGUAGCGGAAAAGGAGCCAUCGAAUGCCCUAGAUGGGACGGGAAAGAAUAAGAAGAAUGGGAAUAUAUUUGAAAGAUGGAAGUGGACCUGGAUCUUGGAAACUAUGAGCGUUUUAUGAUAUCAAGUUGACUCGUGAUAAUAACAUAACCACUGGGAAUAUUUACCAGGCAAGUUUCUUUUUUUUCUUUUUUUCUUCACACUCCAACAUGUUUUCAAUAAUAUAUGAUGUUGUUUACUU